ensembl:lncRNA
AUGCUGAUUUUAUGCCUGCAUCUUUGCUGUGCACUACAAAAUGGUAAUUUCAUUUUAAAUUUUUUAAAUAUAUUGGCCUAUGAAAUGGUCAUAAAUAACACUUUAAGUUAUUUGGCAAUUUUGUUCAGUUGUAUGUAAUAAAUAAAUAAAUAAAAUAAAAACCCAAGACGAUUUGUGUUUCACUGCAGCUUACAUUCUCAGAAAACGGUCAAAACAAAACAAAAACUGGGGCACUGGGGCAGUACCCUUUCAAAAGGUACUAAUAUGUACUUUUAAAUGAGUAAUGUAUAUCAUUUAGGGGUAAAUAAGGUACAAAGAUGCAGCUUUUGUACCUGACAGUUUUAUACAUUGUAAGCAGCAAGGUAAGAGGUUUAAGUGGUGCUUGCUAAGACUUUUGCACCAUUUGUGCAACAGAGAUGAAUAUUUCCUUCAUCAUGUGGCUAUUUUGUGUGGUGUUUUUUCACCUGGAGAAUGAUAAAGCUGGGACCAGAACACUCUAAAACCUUAUAGCAAUGUGUUAAAAAUCACUCUGGCUACAUUAGACACCCUGUACCUGGGUGUUGCCCACUCAAACAGCACUCUAGCAUUGUAGCAGUGAGUUUUGCAUCAGCAGCUCACAUAUUCUGUGAUUGACAUAACCAACUUUAAUAAAGUAGCUGUAUGUUUUUCCACUUGAAAGCCAUCUCUGCAUUACAAUUGUGGUUAAUUUUCUUUGCUGUUUAAUUGCAUUAGCUAUCUCUCAAAUUCUGUUUUGUUUUUGUAGGAAAGUGCAACUUUACAGUGGCAAUGGUGCAUACUGCUGGAAAAGUCACUUGCUUCAAGAUGAUGGAUGGACAUGUCCCAAUUUGCAUGUCUGGUGGUCAAACAUCCCAAUCAUGUGACAUUGCGUACAAAGAUGGGAUGACGUGUAUAAAGUGGCCAGCAGACAUCGAACUCACAUGUGUGAACGAUUCUGAUGAGAUGCAUAAGCUCAAUAUUGGUAAUAAGUGUCAAAAACUGUUUCAGCACUGGAAAUACAAAUCUUUGAUUUUUGAUUUAUAUAUCAAAAUAUCUGUUUCUCUUGCAGAAGAAAACAAGUGUGCCCAUGACCAAGAAUCUAUUAGUUGCAAUGGAGAGUACAAAUCUGAGCUUAGAAAUUCUGCAUCAACCCUGUCAUUGAGUAAGAAUGCAAAACAAUUAUAUGCUACAAGUUUGCAUCCAUCAUAAAAGAAUUCCACAUGUUCAUAUAUUGUGUGUAAACUAUUGAUCCUUUUGUUUUUUGCAGGCAUUCUUCUAAUUACUACCAUUGUCCACUGGGUGUCACUAUGGCACUACUAAUAGUGUAUAGUUCUGAGACACAUUACUCAAACUUAAAAAUAAUAAUAACAAUAAUAAUGUGUUCGAAUAAACCAUUUUUAUAUAUAUAAAAAAACA